rnacentral:rRNA from 1 species
GGAUUAGGCAUGCAAGUCGAACGAACCUUCGGGUUAGUGGCAGACGAGGUAGUAACAUGUAGGAAUGCACCCUAAAGUCAGGAAUAACUGGUCGAAAGAUCAGCUAAUACUUGAUAGUCCCUCCGGGGUAAAGAUUUAUCGCUUUAGGAGCAGCCUGCACAGUAUCAGCUUGUUGGUAAGGUAAAAGCUUACCAAGGCUAUGACGCUUAGGGGAGGUGAGAGCCUGACCCCCACCGAUGGUACUGAGACACGGACCAUACACCUACGGGUGGCUGCAGUCGAGAAUCUUUCGCAAUGCCCGAAAGG